rnacentral:misc_RNA from 1 species
AAGUUGCCGCUUCCGGUGUUUUAAUCAUGCAGAAAGAAGAAAAACAGCUUGAACAUACUCUCGAAUCUCUUAUUCAGAGAGUUCAGGAUAUAAAGAAUUCCAUUGCCAAUCUUUUGGCCAUCAGUGCUGGACAAUUUUGCCCUGUUAUCUGGACAGCUGAACACUCUUGGAAAACUUCUCAGAAAUGAAAAAGUACCACCAUUACGCAAUUCUAUAUUACUGCCAAUUGCUUUAUCGGGGGACAGAGAUCCCGAAUUGGAGAAAGUAACAGAGAGGAGAGUUAUCGCCUUCAAUGCUGAUGUGGUGCCCCAUUAUCUCAGAACAAAGCCAGAACCAGAGGUAGAGGAGCGACUUCAGCCUGUUCUAAACAGGGCCUCCUCACUGACCCCAGAGGCAGCUCAGAAGCAGAUAAAUGCUAUGAAUAAAAUGACCAGUAACAUUGUGGAUAUCAUCAAAUCUCACCAAGAAACCAUGGAAAAAGAAGCCAAUCAGAAAUCAUCCCUCUCUCAGACGUCUUCUCAGGCUGACACGAACACACUGUUGUCUGCGGUUUUAACAGGGAAAGGUUUCAAAUCCAGCGGCAUGAGAAGGACGGACAUGGCACAACAGCAGAGCAACAUGCAGGCUCAGCAACAGGCAGCGCAACAAAAACAACAAGGAAAUGCCCAUGGAAAAGUACAGAGUUCUAUUAAAACAAAUAUCAAACAGGGAUCCAGUACUCAUCCUUACCAAAGAAACUGAAAUGUUGUGGUUUAAUAUUGGCCAAUGUGAAAUGGAACACUGAAAAACAAUGUGUGACUGUGAUUGUUUAUCAUAAAGAAGUGCUUUGUUACAUGUAGAUGAUGCCAGUGACAAUGAAUGGGAAUUAGUGAAAAAAGGGUGAAAUAAAGUUAAUGCAUUUUCAUCGAUCGUAUAUUACAAAUUGUACAAUUUGAACUGAAAUGAUACAUAAAAAAGAUUUUGUUUACUGU